GUGCCAGCAGCCGCGGUAAUACGUAGGGUGCAAGCGUUGUCCGGAAUUAUUGGGCGUAAAGAGCUCGUAGGCGGCUUGUCACGUCGACUGUGAAAACCCGGGGCUCAACUCCGGGCCUGCAGUCGAUACGGGCUGGCUUGAGUGCGGUAGGGGAGACUGGAAUUCCUGGUGUAGCGGUGAAAUGCGCAGAUAUCAGGAGGAACACCGGUGGCGAAGGCGGGUCUCUGGGCCGUAACUGACGCUGAGGAGCGAAAGCGUGGGGAGCGAACAGGAUUAGAUACCCUCGUAGUCC
rnacentral:rRNA from 1 species